CCAAAAACAUCACCUCUAGCAUUACUAGUAUUAGAGGCACUGCCUGCCCAGUGACACGAGUUAAACGGCCGCGGUAUUCUGACCGUGCAAAGGUAGCAUAAUCAUUUGUUCUAUAAAUAAGGACUUGUAUGAAUGGCCACACGAGGGUUUUACUGUCUCUUACUUCCAAUCGGUGAAAUUGACCUUCCCGUGAAGAGGCGGGAAUAUAACAAUAAGACGAGAAGACCCUAUGGAGCUUUAAUUAACUAACCCAAUAGAAUCUAUUCAAUUAACCAACAUGGGACAAAGUAAUUCUACAGUGGGACAGCAAUUUAGGUUGGGGCGACCUCGGAGUAUAACACAACCCCCGAGUGAUAUAAAUCUAGACAUACCUGUCAAAACGAACUAUCAUAAAUUGAUCCAAAAAUUUUUGAUCAACGGAACAAGUUACCCUAGGGAUAACAGCGCAAUCCUAUUCAAGAGUUCAUAUCGACAAUAGGGUUUACGACCUCGAUGUUGGAUCAGGACAUCCCAAUGGUGCAGCAGCUAUUAAAGGUUCGUUUGUUCAACGAUUAAAGUCCUACGUGAUCUGAGUUCAGACCGGAGUAAUCCAGGUCGGUUUCUAUCUAUUAACCAGUCUCUCCCAGUACGAAAGGACAAGAGAGACAAGGCCCACUUCGACGAAGCGCCUUAGGACUAAUAUAUGACAUAAUCUUAAUAUAACCAGUUCAACUACACUAUUCAACCCGAGAACAGGGUUU
rnacentral:rRNA from 2 species